ACUGGAGCCUGUAAACAUGUACACAUUAAAUAUGAUACAUAGAUGGCUAUUUUAGUUUAAUACUGCUUCAAUUGCAUAUUCAUUGAGAAGCUUGCUUUGAUAAAAAUAAGUAUCAGUUAAACACCGGAGUUGACAUAAUUGACUCACCCACGCCCAAACUGCUGGCUUUGUGCCAAAAUUUGAAACCAUUGAAAGGUGGUGAGCUGGCAGAAUUGUUAGUGCAAAGAACUGUUUAGCAACAUUUCUUCAAGCUCUUUGCAUUUUUAGUUCAAAUACUGUUGAGGUCACAAAAUAAAGUACCAGCCAAAUACUAGGUUUUAUGUAACCAACUUGUCCCUUUGGGGGUUGCUGGCCUUGUGCCAAAGUUAGAACUAUUGUUAUCAUUACUGAGGAUUGAUCUUAUUCCUGGUAGAUUUUAUGUGGGUGGUGUGUUACUCCUGUAAACUUAAGAUAUUCACUUGAUUUUAAGCCAUCAAGUGCUCAAAACCCAUCUGAUCUUACCUGUUCUAAAGAGGCAAAUCUUCUGUAGAAGCUCUACAAGACACACGAUUAUGAUCUUUAUCCAUUUGUCUUUGUUAUCACUCUGUUCCAAAUGCACUAGUUAUCAUAGGUACAAUUGUUACAGAUUCCAUGUUCCAAAUUCUCACAAUCUCAAAUUUCAGUGGGUUGUAGUUUUUCAACUUUUUAUCAGCUUCCUUCAUAAUCUUAAUAUUUAAUAGAUACGAUGGAUCAAUCAAUAUGCAAAUUUGACUUUCUUUGUCUGUAACUGCAAUAUCUGGCUUUAUCCAUUUCAAUAGAAAAAUCCCACAAAAUCUUACAUGUUUCCAAUUUAAGUACUUAGUCUAUCCAAUGAUUGUACCAUGUACUUCCUGCUUUAAACCCCUAUUUUUGACAAUGUUUCCAGUGUAAAAGAACAUGCUCCAUUUCUUAUAUUCUUCCUGGGCGAACUCAGGGCAUUCUGUAACAGCAUGUGCCAUCAUUUCAUCUAAAAUUCUGCAUACUCUACAUUUUGUUGACGCCUUCUCCCCAUACAUAUUUUUUUAUAUCAGAUUUUUUAUCUGAAGUUCUUGAUCUUGAGCUGCUAUAAUAAGACUCUGUUUUUUCAAUGAAGCCCAGGAUCUUAUUGACAUAUAUCCUCAGUGGCUUUCCAAAAUUCAACAUGCUAAGUUUUCUCUCCAAUUUGUUCAACUUGUUCUCUUUGAAUUUCAUUUUUGUUCUGUUUGCCUUUUCCAGUCUUGAUCAACUAAUCUUUACUCACUGCCUUUAGUAACUUUUGAUGCAAGGAGAAUUAAGAGAUGUAUAAAAAUUAUUGUGCAGUGAGAUAAAAAAUAAAAA